rnacentral:rRNA from 1 species
UACGUAGGGUGCAAGCGUUGUCCGGAAUUAUUGGGCGUAAAGAGCUCGUAGGCGGUUCGUCGCGUCGGCUGUGAAAACCUGAGGCUCAACCUCAGGCCUGCAGUCGAUACGGGCGGACUUGAGUACUGCAGGGGAGACUGGAAUUCCUGGUGUAGCGGUGAAAUGCGCAGAUAUCAGGAGGAACACCGGUGGCGAAGGCGGGUCUCUGGGCAGUAACUGACGCUGAGGAGCGAAAGCGUGGGGAGCGAUCCGG